AGAACAUCCUUGGAUAAGGAUUUUAUUAGCUAUUUCAUUAAUUUCUACUUUAGUGUAUGAAUUACUUUGUGGUACUUAUUUUAAAAAAAUAUUAUUAAAAAACUAUUUUAUGGUUCAA